CUAGGAGAUCAUGAAACAUCAUUGUCAGUAACUCACCAAUAAAUCACCUGAUUCAGAGGAACCAGUGUGUUAAAGAACACAACUCGCCUAAUUCCGAGGAUGCUUAAGGAAUAAUAAAGAAUGAAUAGCAACAAUGGGCAAAUCUUUUCAGUUUUAUUUGCCGCUUGUGAAAUUUUUGUUUACAAUUCGCGUCCUUCUGUGCUGCUUUAUAUGAUAGGUUAUCGGUGAAACGGUGUUAUCCGAGAAAGAUUCCGCUGUUUUUUACCGCCAUAAGUGUUAUUAAUUAUGUAGUGCUUUGUAGUUAAAGUGUGUUUACUUUGUGUGCGUGAGAACGUUUGGAGAUGCCUCGCCGUGCGGGCCAAAAGGGCUCGAGAUGCGAACAACGUUGCCCAGCGCCGUCACCGUAAACGGCUAGCGCAGACGCGGCGCGAGACCGAAGCGUUGCGGAACGCUGAGCGUCGCCGUGAGCGUCGUAGAGAGACCCGAGAGACCCACCGCCAGCAGGAGAGGAAGCGCCACGAGAACCGAGAGGAGGGGGAAGAGCAGACUGGUCAGUCACCUGCAUACCUUGGAACCGCAUUCAAAGGUGUGAGACGAAGUAAAGGCUCACCCCCCAAAAAAUUGCCAUCAGAACUGAGAAGUUAACGGACACAGAUGAUGAAGCGAGGGGCAGAAGACACAGGCGGAGCAUACACUGAAAAUGAUCCCGAUUCAUAAUGAAACAAAAUUCCUAGCCCUUCAUUGGAAAAAAGACAAGGCUCCAAAUGUGAAAAUAUACACAGCUGAAAAAGAUCCGUGCCUGUACAUAUAGUACAUGGGACCGAACAUGGCGGAAACAAAUGAAUGCUGGGGACUGUUAUGUCAUGUAUUACCAUGUGGAAUGUCAAUGUUAAUAGAUCGGAUUUGCACCA
rnacentral:lncRNA from 1 species